AUUGAACGCUGGCGGCAUGCCUAACACAUGCAAGUCGAACGAGUGGCGGACGGGUGGGUAAGUGCGGGGAAACUGCCCGAUUUAGCGGUAUAACUACUGGAAACCGUAGCUAAUAGCGCAUACCAUCGGUUGUGCCCACGUGGGAUUAGGUAGUAGGUGUGGUAACGGCUCACCUGGGCGACUAUGCCUAUCCGGCCUGAGAGGGUGACCGUCCACCGUGGAACUGAGACACGGUCCAGACUCCUACGGGAGGCAGCAGUGGGGAAUCUUGGGCAAUGGGCGCAAGCCUAAUGCAGCAAUGCCGCGUGAGUGAAGAAGGAUUUCGGAUUGGAAAGUACUGUCGGCAGGGAGGCGUUAUCGGCAGAAGAAGCCACGGCUAACUCCGUGCCAGCAGCCGCGGUAAUAC
rnacentral:rRNA from 1 species